UAUUCGCGCAAAGGAUGGGAACGGCAUCCUUUUUUGAGGUACGAAAAAAAGAUAUAGUGGACAGCCUGGUUUAUG
rnacentral:sRNA from 1 species